rnacentral:tRNA from 1 species
ACCAGUUUGGCUCAGUGGAUAGAGCAUCGGCCUGCGAACUGGGAGGUCCCAGGUUCGAUUCCGGGAAAGGGCA